CCUACGGGUGGCAGCAGUGAGGAAUAUUGGUCAAUGGGCUUACGCCUGAACCAGCCAAGUCGCGUGAGGGAAGACUGCCCUAUGGGUUGUAAACCUCUUUUGUCAGGGAGCAACGCCGGCUACGUGUAGCCGGACUGAGAGUACCUGAAGAAAAAGCAUCGGCUAACUCCGUGCCAGCAGCCGCGGUAAUACGGAGGAUGCGAGCGUUAUCCGGAGUUAUUGGGUUUAAAGGGUGCGUAGGCGGAAUGCCAAGUCAGCGGUAACAUCGCGGGGCUCAACCUCGCUCCGCCGUUGAAACUGGCGUUUUUGAGUGGGCGAGAAGUAUGCGGAAUGCGUGGUGGAGCGGUGAAAUGCAUAGAUAUCACGCAGAACUCCGAUUGCGAAGGCAGCAUACCGGCGCCCAACUGACGCUGAAGCACGAAAGUGUGGGUAUCGAACAGGAUUAGAUACCCUUGUAGUC
rnacentral:rRNA from 1 species